UACGUAGGGUGCGAGCGUUGUCCGGAAUUAUUGGGCGUAAAGGGCGCGUAGGCGGCACGGCAAGUCAGGCGUGAAAGGCCUGGGCUCAACCGAGGAACUGCUUUUGAGACUGCCGAGCUAGAGUGCAGAAGGGGCAACUGGAAUUCCCAGUGUAGCGGUGAAAUGCGUAGAUAUUGGGAAGAACACCUGAGGCGAAGGCGGGUUGCUGGGCUGACACUGACGCUGAGGCGCGAAAGCGUGGGGAGCAAACCGG
rnacentral:rRNA from 1 species